rnacentral:rRNA from 1 species
CAAUAGCGUAUAUUAAAGUUGUUGCAGUUAAAAAGCUCGUAGUUGGACCUUGGACCUGGACAGGCGGUCCGCCUCACGGCGUGUACUGUCUUGCUGGGUCUUUCCUCUUGGUGAUCUGUUGUUUCGGCAGCAGGGAACCAGGACUUUUACUUUGAAAAAAUUAGAGUGUUCAAAGCAGGCUCGACGCCGGAAUAUAUUAGCAUGGAAUAAUAAAAUAGGACGUGCGGUUCUAUUUUGUUGGUUUUUGGAAUCGCCGUAAUGAUUAAUAGGGACAGUCGGGGGCAUUAGUACUCACAUGCUAGAGGUGAAAUUCUUGGAUUUUGUGAAGACUAACUUCUGCGAAAGCAUUUGCCAAGGAUGGUUUCAUUAA